rnacentral:rRNA from 1 species
GGUCAAGUGAAGAAGCGCAUACGGUGGAUGCCUUGGCAGUCAGAGGCGAUGAAAGACGUGGUAGCCUGCGAAAAGCUUCGGGGAGUCGGCAAACAGACUUUGAUCCGGAGAUGUCUGAAUGGGGGAACCCAGCCAUCAUAAGAUGGUUAUCUUGUACUGAAUACAUAGGUGCAAGAGGCGAACCAGGGGAACUGAAACAUCUAAGUACCCUGAGGAAAAGAAAUCAACCGAGAUUCCCUUAGUAGUGGCGAGCGAACGGGGACUAGCCCUUAAGUGGCUUUGAGAUUAGCGGAACGCUCUGGAAAGUGCGGCCAUAGUGGGUGAUAGCCCUGUACGCGAAAAUCUCUUAGUCAUGAAAUCGAGUAGGACGGAGCACGAGAAACUUUGUCUGAAUAUGGGGGGACCAUCCUCCAAGGCUAAAUACUACUGACUGACCGAUAGUGAACUAGUACCGUGAGGGAAAGGCGAAAAGAACCCCGGAGAGGGGAGUGAAAUAGAUCCUGAAACCGUAUGCGUACAAGCAGUGGGAGCCUACUUUGUUAGGUGACUGCGUACCUUUUGUAUAAUGGGUCAGCGACUUAUUUUCAGUGGCGAGCUUAACCGAAUAGGGGAGGCGUAGCGAAAGCGAGUCUUAAUAGGGCGUCUAGUCGCUGGGAAUAGACCCGAAACCGGGCGAUCUAUCCAUGGGCAGGUUGAAGGUUGGGUAACACUAACUGGAGGACCGAACCGACUACCGUUGAAAAGUUAGCGGAUGACCUGUGGAUCGGAGUGAAAGGCUAAUCAAGCUCGGAGAUAGCUGGUUCUCCUCGAAAGCUAUUUAGGUAGCGCCUCAUGUAUCACUGUAGGGGGUAGAGCACUGUUUCGGCUAGGGGGUCAUCCCGACUUACCAAACCGAUGCAAACUCCGAAUACCUACAAGUGCCGAGCAUGGGAGACACACGGCGGGUGCUAACGUCCGUCGUGAAAAGGGAAACAACCCAGACCGUCAGCUAAGGUCCCAAAGUUAUGGUUAAGUGGGAAACGAUGUGGGAAGGCUUAGACAGCUAGGAGGUUGGCUUAGAAGCAGCCACCCUUUAAAGAAAGCGUAAUAGCUCACUAGUCGAGUCGGCCUGCGCGGAAGAUGUAACGGGGCUCAAACCAUACACCGAAGCUACGGGUAUCACGUAAGUGAUGCGGUAGAGGAGCGUUCUGUAAGCCUGUGAAGGUGAGUUGAGAAGCUUGCUGGAGGUAUCAGAAGUGCGAAUGCUGACAUGAGUAACGACAAUGGGUGUGAAAAACACCCACGCCGAAAGACCAAGGUUUCCUGCGCAACGUUAAUCGACGCAGGGUUAGUCGGUCCCUAAGGCGAGGCUGAAAAGCGUAGUCGAUGGAAAACAGGUUAAUAUUCCUGUACUUCUGGUUAUUGCGAUGGAGGGACGGAGAAGGCUAGGCCAGCUUGGCGUUGGUUGUCCAAGUUUAAGGUGGUAGGCUGAGAUCUUAGGUAAAUCCGGGAUCUUAAGGCCGAGAGCUGAUGACGAGUUAUCUUUUAGAUGACGAAGUGGUUGAUGCCAUGCUUCCAAGAAAAGCUUCUAAGCUUCAGGUAACCAGGAACCGUACCCCAAACCGACACAGGUGGUUGGGUAGAGAAUACCAAGGCGCUUGAGAGAACUCGGGUGAAGGAACUAGGCAAAAUGGCACCGUAACUUCGGGAGAAGGUGCGCCGGUGAGGGUGAAGGACUUGCUCCGUAAGCUCAUGCCGGUCGAAGAUACCAGGCCGCUGCGACUGUUUAUUAAAAACACAGCACUCUGCAAACACGAAAGUGGACGUAUAGGGUGUGACGCCUGCCCGGUGCCGGAAGGUUAAUUGAUGGGGUUAGCUAACGCGAAGCUCUUGAUCGAAGCCCCGGUAAACGGCGGCCGUAACUAUAACGGUCCUAAGGUAGCGAAAUUCCUUGUCGGGUAAGUUCCGACCUGCACGAAUGGCGUAACGAUGGCGGCGCUGUCUCCACCCGAGACUCAGUGAAAUUGAAAUCGCUGUGAAGAUGCAGUGUAUCCGCGGCUAGACGGAAAGACCCCGUGAACCUUUACUAUAGCUUUGCACUGGACUUUGAAUUUGCUUGUGUAGGAUAGGUGGGAGGCUUUGAAGCGUGGACGCCAGUUCGCGUGGAGCCAUCCUUGAAAUACCACCCUGGCAACUUUGAGGUUCUAACUCAGGUCCGUUAUCCGGAUCGAGGACAGUGUAUGGUGGGUAGUUUGACUGGGGCGGUCUCCUCCUAAAGAGUAACGGAGGAGUACGAAGGUGCGCUCAGACCGGUCGGAAAUCGGUCGUAGAGUAUAAAGGCAAAAGCGCGCUUGACUGCGAGACAGACACGUCGAGCAGGUACGAAAGUAGGUCUUAGUGAUCCGGUGGUUCUGUAUGGAAGGGCCAUCGCUCAACGGAUAAAAGGUACUCCGGGGAUAACAGGCUGAUACCGCCCAAGAGUUCAUAUCGACGGCGGUGUUUGGCACCUCGAUGUCGGCUCAUCACAUCCUGGGGCUGAAGCCGGUCCCAAGGGUAUGGCUGUUCGCCAUUUAAAGUGGUACGCGAGCUGGGUUUAGAACGUCGUGAGACAGUUCGGUCCCUAUCUGCCGUGGACGUUUGAGAUUUGAGAGGGGCUGCUCCUAGUACGAGAGGACCGGAGUGGACGAACCUCUGGUGUUCCGGUUGUCACGCCAGUGGCAUCGCCGGGUAGCUAUGUUCGGAAUAGAUAACCGCUGAAAGCAUCUAAGCGGGAAACUAGCCUCAAGAUGAGAUCUCACUGGAACCUUGAGUUCCCUGAAGGGCCGUCGAAGACUACGACGUUGAUAGGUUGGGUGUGUAAGCGCUGUGAGGCGUUGAGCUAACCAAUACUAAUUGCCCGUGAGGCUUGACCAU